rnacentral:rRNA from 1 species
UUGCCAGAGAGAAAGUGGAAUCAUAGAGUAGCGGUGAAAUGCGUAGAGAUUAGAGGAACACCAGUAGCGAAGGCGGCUUUAGACCUGUAACUGACACUGAAGGCGCGAAAGCGAGGGGAGCAAACAGGAUAGAUACCUGGUAGUCCACGCUGUAAUCGAUGAGUGCUAGUGUUGGUCUCAUAAGAGAUCAGUGUGCAGUUACGCAUUAAGCACUCCACUGGGGAGUACGACCGCAAGGUUGAAACUCAAAGGAAUUGACGGGGCCCCGCACAAGCGGUGGAGCAUGUGGUUUAAUUUGAAGCAACGCGAAGAACCUUACCAAGUCUUGACAUACUGUGAGGACACAAGAGAUUGUGUUGUUCUGACCUUUGGUUAGACACAGAUACAGGUGGAGCAUGGUUGUCGUCAGAUCGUGUCGUGAGAUGUUGGGUUAAGUCCCGCAACGAGCGCAACCCUUAUAUCUAGUUGCCAGCAGUAAGAUGGGGACUCUAGAUAGACUGCCAGUGAUAAACUGGAGGAAGGUGGGGAUGACGUCAAAUCAUCAUGCCCCUUAUGACUUGGGCUACACACGUGCUACAAUGGAUAGGAACAAAGAGAAGCGAGCUCGUGAGAGUAAGCAAACCUCACAAAACUAUUCUCAGUUCGGAUUGUAGUCUGCAACUCGACUACAUGAAGCUGGAAUCGCUAGUAAUCGCGAAUCAGAAUGUCGCGGUGAAUACGUUCCCGGGUCUUGUACACACCGCCCGUCACACCACGAGAGUUUGUAACACCCGAAGACGGUGGCCUAACCUUUUAGGAGGGAGCCGGUCACGGUGGGACAGAUGAUUGGGGUGAAGUCGUAACAAGGUAGCCGUAUCGGAAGG